rnacentral:rRNA from 1 species
AGCCCGGUGGACAGGUGCUGCAUGGCUGUCGUCAGCUCGUGUCGUGAGAUGUUGGGUUAAGUCCCGCAACGAGCGCAACCCUCGCCUUUAGUUGCCAGCAUUCAGUUGGGCACUCUAAAGGGACUGCCGGUGUCAAACCGGAGGAAGGUGGGGAUGACGUCAAGUCCUCAUGGCCUUUAUGUCUAGGGCUACACACGUACCACAAUGGCAGGUACAAAGGGCAGCGACACAGCGAUGUGAUGCGAAUCCCGAAAAGCCUGUCUCAGUCCGGAUCGGAGUCUGCAACUCGACUCCGUGAAGUUGGAAUCGCUAGUAAUCGUGGAUCAGCAUGCCACGGUGAAUACGUUCCCGGGCCUU